rnacentral:rRNA from 1 species
UACGUAGGGUGCAAGCGUUGUCCGGAAUUAUUGGGCGUAAAGAGCUCGUAGGCGGUCUGUCGCGUCGGCUGUGAAAACCCGGGGCUCAACCCCGGGCCUGCAGUCGAUACGGGCAGACUAGAGUGCGGUAGGGGAGACUGGAAUUCCCGGUGUAGCGGUGGAAUGCGUAGAGAUCGGGAAGAACAUCAGUGGCGAAGGCGGUCUGCUGGGCCGUUGCUGACGCUGAGGCGCGACAGCGUGGGGAGCAAACAGG